rnacentral:lncRNA from 1 species
AACAGGUGUGUGUUAGCCAGAGUGAUGUCAAUCAACUAAAGGUCUCAAAGCUGAGAGACAACUUGCAUGGGAAAAGAUCAACAGAAAAAUCUGAAACAUCAGGAGAACUUUCACACAGAAAACUAACAAAGAAAUUCUGGACUUAAACUUGACACUUGCCCAGUUGGUCUUAAUAGACAUCUAAAGAAUACUCCACCCAACAACUACAGAAUAUAUAUUCGUCUCAUCUGCAGACACAACAUACUUUAAAAAUGACUGCAUGUUUGGUCAGAGAGUCUCAACAAAUUUGGAAAAAUUAAAAUUAUACCCAACAUAUUCUCAGGUCGAAUGAAAUGCAAAUAGAAAUUACUGCCAAGAGGAAUUCUCAAAACCACACAAAUACGUGGAAAUUAAACACAUUGAUCCUGAAUGACCUUUGUAAAGCAAGAAAAUUAAGGCAAAAAUCAAAAAAUUAUUUGAAAAAAACAAAAAUUGUGACACAGUGUAACAAAACCUGUGAUAUUGCAAAAGAAGUGAUAAGAUUUGUAGCACUAAAUGCCUACAUCAAGAAAAUAGAAAUAUCUUGUUAACAACCUAACAUUACACCUAAAGAAAUAGAGAAAGAAGAACUAAAUUCUAAAUGAAGAACCCAGUUCUAGCAGAAGAAAAGAAAGAAUUAAAAUCAGAACAGAACUAAGUGAAAUUGAGAUAAAGAAAACUAUUCAAAGGAUCAACAAAAUGAAAAGUUUGUUUUUUGAAAGGAUAAACAAAAUUGAUAGACUGCUAGAUAAACAAAGGAAAAAAAGAAGAUCCAAAUAAGCACAAUCAGAUAUGACAAAGGUAACAUUACAACUGAUCUCGCAGAAAUAUAAAAGAUCCUCAGAGAUUACUAUGAACAUCUCUAUGCACACAACUAGAAAAUCUAGAGGAAAUAGAUAAAUUCCUGGAAAUAUACAACCUCCCAAGAUUGAAUCUGGAAGAAAAAGACACCCUAAAGAGACCAGUAAUGAGUUACAAAAUUGAAUAAGUAAUAAUAAAAAACUUACUAACCAGAAAAGCACCGGACCAGAUGGAUUUACAGCCAAAUUAUACCAGAUGUACAAAGAAGGAGAAUGCUGAGAGAAAAGGUGCCUCUGAGCCCAUAGAACAUGUUCAAAGCAGAGCUCUUACCCGAAGCAAGAGAGAAAGACCACAGCAGGUAACAUCACAGCCACUGGCAGAGCCUGUGAUCCAGGCCUGUGGACCUCCACAUCAUUCCAUGAAAGUGACAUUUGAAGAUAAUACCUUGAUCAAACACUAAAAUGCAAA